AGGGCCAUUGCCUAUGCAGUUGUUGCAGAUCGGCCACCACAGGUUAGACAACACACCAAGAGUGUUAAAUUUUUGGAAGUACUCAAAAACUAUAGUUGACUGGAUAAAAUGAGACGUUUUGUGUUGCUGGUUAUCGUGGUCAUGGCGUGUUUUGCAGUUUUGUCGGGGUGUUCUGAAGGUUCGGCGAAGGCAAUCGAGGGAAACAAACAUACGAGCCAACAUAGCCGACAACGUUUCGGUAGAAGAGGCAACGGUGGUGGUUGGGGAGGCUGGGCCCCGGGUCAAUCGAAACGUGAUAUUCAUGAUGACAAUUUCGAAGACUUCGAAGACAUAAUCAAUAAUAUGUAAAACUACUCUUAAAAUAAACUUAGCCUACUCUGAUAUAUAUGGAACCUAUUAUAGUAUAGCCUCUACAAUAUAUUGCAUACAUCAUUUUGAUCCUAGUUUCGGGUUUCAAUCGUUUAAUAAAUUAUACAAAAUAAAUUGUUGAUAGU